rnacentral:rRNA from 1 species
UACGUAGGGGGCGAGCGUUAUCCGGAUUCACUGGGUGUAAAGGGAGCGUAGACGGCCAUGCAAGCCAGGGGUGAAAGCCCGGGGCCCAACCCCGGGACUGCCCUUGGAACUGCAUGGCUGGAGUGCGGGAGGGGCAGGCGGAAUUCCUGGUGUAGCGGUGAAAUGCGUAGAUAUCAGGAGGAACACCGGCGGCGAAGGCGGCCUGCUGGACUGCGACUGACGUUGAGACUCGAAAGCGUGGGGAGCGAACAGG